rnacentral:rRNA from 1 species
UACGUAGGGGGCAAGCGUUAUCCGGAUUUACUGGGUGUAAAGGGAGAGUAGACGGUGUGGCAAGUCUGAUGUGAAAGGCAUGGGCUCAACCUGUGGACUGCAUUGGAAACUGUCAUACUUGAGUGCCGGAGGGGUAAGCGGAAUUCCUAGUGUAGCGGUGAAAUGCGUAGAUAUUAGGAGGAACACCAGUGGCGAAGGCGGCUUACUGGACGGUAACUGACGUUGAGGCUCGAAAGCGUGGGGAGCAAACAGG